UGCAAGUCGAACGGCAGCACAGUAAGAGCUUGCUCUUAUGGGUGGCGAGUGGCGGACGGGUGAGGAAUACAUCGGAAUCUACCUUUUCGUGGGGGAUAACGUAGGGAAACUUACGCUAAUACCGCAUACGACCUUCGGGUGAAAGCAGGGGACCUUCGGGCCUUGCGCGGAUAGAUGAGCCGAUGUCGGAUUAGCUAGUUGGCGGGGUAAAGGCCCACCAAGGCGACGAUCCGUAGCUGGUCUGAGAGGAUGAUCAGCCACACUGGAACUGAGACACGGUCCAGACUCCUACGGGAGGCAGCAGUGGGGAAUAUUGGACAAUGGGCGCAAGCCUGAUCCAGCCAUACCGCGUGGGUGAAGAAGGCCUUCGGGUUGUAAAGCCCUUUUGUUGGGAAAGAAAAGCAGUCGGCUAAUACCCGGUUGUUCUGACGGUACCCAAAGAAUAAGCACCGGCUAACUUCGUGCCAGCAGCCGCGGUAAUACGAAGGGUGCAAGCGUUACUCGGAAUUACUGGGCGUAAAGCGUGCGUAGGUGGUUGUUUAAGUCUGUUGUGAAAGCCCUGGGCUCAACCUGGGAAUUGCAGUGGAUACUGGGCGACUAGAGUGUGGUAGAGGGUAGUGGAAUUCCCGGUGUAGCAGUGA
rnacentral:rRNA from 1 species